rnacentral:sRNA from 12 species
UAUUUGCGUGAAGGAUUGUAGUGACAUCCUUUUUAAUUUUGAUAAAAAUUGAAAAGAUAUAACGAAAAGCCUGACCUUUA